rnacentral:lncRNA from 1 species
ACAGGAAGACCCGCUCUAACCAUGGGCAGCACUGUGAAAGGAACUGGGGUCCCAGAACAAAGAGGAGAAGUGAGGUGAGCCCAGCGUUCAUCUCUCUUUGUUGUGUCAUGAGCCUCUGCUCAAGCUCCUGCCAUGGAGCUUUCCCCAGUGUGACGAACUGAAUGCCUAACUCCUCUAGGUCCCUCGAAGCACACAGCAUCCUGAGUGAGUGACUCACGAAGUCCCAAAGACAGCAUUGACCCACUGAUCCUUUAUCUGCUCUGUCAAACCAGCCCCUCACUGACCCUGCACACCUGUCAUCCAGCAAGCUCUGGGGACCACCCUGUAAACAGCAUCCUAACUAGUCACCUGACUCAUCCUCUGUUCUGCAAACCUGGGGAUCUGAGGGCACCAGCAGCAUUCACACAAAGUGGUGAGCCUGGGCUCUGCUCUCAGGAGCUGCAAGUCUCAGGUGCCUUCACCUCCCUUCAUCUGCACUGCCCUCACUGCAGUGAGUAGACCAGACCGGCCUCGGCCCCGCCCACUCGGAUCCCUGCGGGCUCCGCCCCCCGCUGCUCUCUUCCUUCCCCUCUAUCCUUCCAUCCUCUCUUCACCUUCUGGCAUUUUCCACUCAGACAUUGACCUUUGCGUUGACACAGUCAGUCAAUAUGUGAAACCCUUGCUUUUCUCAACCUAAAAUAAAUCCAUAAUUAAUUCAUUAA